rnacentral:rRNA from 1 species
GUGCACCAGGCGAGAAUCUUCGGCAAUGGGCGCAAGCCUGACCGAGCGACGCCGCGUGCGGGAUGAAGGCCUUCGGGUUGUAAUCCGCUGUCAGAGGGGAGGAAAUGGCGGCCCUCAGGGUCGUCUUGACCAAACCUCAGAGGAAGGACGGGCUAAGUUCGUGCCAGCAGCCGCGGUAAGACGAACCGUCCAAACGUUAUUCGGAAUUACUGGGCUUAAAGGGUGCGUAGGCGGCCUGGCAAGUUGGGUGUGAAAGCCCUCGGCUCAACCGAGGAAUUGCGCCCAAAACUGCUAGGCUUGAGGGAGACAGAGGUGAGCGGAACUUGGGGUGGAGCGGUGAAAUGCAUUGAUAUCCCAAGGAACACCAGAGGCGAAAGCGGCUCACUGGGUCUCUUCUGACGCUGAGGCACGAAAGCUAGGGGAGCGAACGGGAUUAGAUACCCAGGUAGUCC